AAUAGAUACCCCGGUAGUCCACGCCGUAAACGAUGAGUGCUAAGUGUUAGAGGGUUUCCGCCCUUUAGUGCUGCGGCUAACGCAUUAAGCACUCCGCCUGGGGAGUACGGCCGCAAGGCUGAAACUCAAAGGAAUUGACGGGGGCCCGCACAAGCGGUGGAGCAUGUGGUUUAAUUCGAAGCAACGCGAAGAACCUUACCAGGUCUUGACAUCCUCUGACAACCCUAGAGAUAGGGCUUUCCCCUUCGGGGGACAGAGUGACAGGUGGUGCAUGGUUGUCGUCAGCUCGUGUCGUGAGAUGUUGGGUUAAGUCCCGCAACGAGCGCAACCCUUGAUCUUAGUUGCCAGCAUUCAGUUGGGCACUCUAAGGUGACUGCCGGUGACAAACCGGAGGAAGGUGGGGAUGACGUCAAAUCAUCAUGCCCCUUAUGACCUGGGCUACACACGUGCUACAAUGGAUGGUACAAAGGGCUGCAAACCUGCGAAGGUAAGCGAAAUCCCAUAAAGCCAUUCUCAGUUCGGAUUGCAGGCUG
rnacentral:rRNA from 1 species